GAUGAACGCUGGCGGUGUGCCUAAUACAUGCAAGUCGAGCGAACAGACGAGGAGCUUGCUCCUCUGACGUUAGCGGCGGACGGGUGAGUAACACGUGGAUAACCUUCCUAUAAGUCUGGGAUAACUUCGGGAAAACGGAGCUAAUAACGGAUAAUAUAUUGAACCGCAUGGUUCAAUAGUGAAAGACGGUUUUGCUGUCACUUAUAGAUGGAUCCGCACCGCAUUAGCUAGUUGGUAAGGUAACGGCUUACCAAGGCAACGAUGCGUAGCCGACCUGAGAGGGUGAUCGGCCACACUGGAACUGAGACACGGUCCAGACUCCUACGGGAGGCAGCAGUGGGGAAUCUUCCGCAAUGGGCGAAAGCCUGACGCAGCAACACCGCGUGAGUGAUGAAGGUCUUCGGAUCGUAAAACUCUGUUAUUAGGGAAGAACAAAUGUAUAAGUAUCUAUGCACGUCUUGACGGUACCUAAACAGAAAGCCACGGCUAACUACGUG
rnacentral:rRNA from 1 species